rnacentral:rRNA from 1 species
CCUACGGGCGGCAGCAGUGAGGAAUAUUGGUCAAUGGACGAGAGUCUGAACCAGCCAAGUAGCGUGAAGGAUGACUGCCCUAUGGGUUGUAAACUUCUUUUAUAUGGGAAUAAAAUGUUCCACGUGUGGGAUUUUGUAUGUACCAUAUGAAUAAGGAUCGGCUAACUCCGUUCCAGCAGCCGCGGUAAUACGGAGGAUCCGAGCGUUAUCCGGAUUUAUUGGGUUUAAAGGGAGCGUAGGUGGAUUGUUAAGUCAGUUGUGAAAGUUUGCGGCUUAACCGUAAAAUUGCAGUUGAAACUGGCAGUCUUGAGUACAGUAGAGGUGGGCGGAAUUCGUGGUGUAGCGGUGAAAUGCUUAGAUAUCACGAAGAACUCCGAUUGCGAAGGCAGUUCACUGGACUGCAACUGACACUGAGGCUCGAAAGUGUGGGUAUCAAACAGGAUUAGAUACCCCAGUAGUC